rnacentral:RNase_P_RNA from 1 species
UGAGACCUCUUGAUGGCCGCGGCCGUGAUCUUCAUUGGGAUCGGCUGAGGAACUUCCGGGCUCCAUAGAGCACGAUGGCGGAUAACGUCCGCCCAGGGUGACCUGAGAGAUAGCGCAACAGAGAACAGACCGCCCGUCCUCGACGGGUAAGGGUGAAACGGCGGUGUAAGAGACCACCGGGCCUCUGGUAACAGUAGGUCGCAUGGCAAGCCUCAUCGGGAGCAAGGCCAAGCAGAUGGCGGUAAGGGCUGCUCGCCCGUGUCAUCGGGUAGGCUGCUAGAGCCUGGCGGUAACGUCAGGUCGAGAUGGAUGGCCAUCCGUGNNNNNNNNNNAUCCGUGCCGUGCGCUCGCGCACGGCACGACAGAACCCGGGGUAUAAGAGGUCUCAUUUU